rnacentral:tRNA from 1 species
AUCCAGCUGGCUCUGUAGGUAGGGCAUGUGACUCUGGAUCUCACGGUUGUGAGUUCAAGCCCCACACUGGGUG